AUAAAUGCUGUCCUCUCCACCACUCCUUCCUUCCAAGUUCCAAGAGAGCAGAAGAGAACAGGAUAGAAUCGAAAGAACCCUUGCCCAGUUGCUGCCCCUCCCCUACCUUUGUCAUCAGCUGAGUAGUUCACCACCACCAAGUCAGGCAAGAUGUACAACGCUCCAUCGGCGCAGGAGAUGUCCUACUUCGACCAUGUGCAGAGGCGCCACGAGGAGAAGGGCUGCCUCUACGCAUGCAUCUUCACGGCUCUGUGCUGCUUCUGCUGCUACGAGACCUGCGAGUGCUGCCUCGACUGCCUCUGCUGCUGCUGCAACUAGGCCGCCGCCUGCAGCUCCAGAAGGCCGGAUGGAGUUGGAGAUGGCCUGUGUCUUUCUUACCUGAAAAUCAAGUAGCCUGCUUGGCUGCUUGCUUUAGUCUGGUUGUGAAGAACAUAAUAAAGCACGUUGUAGUUAUUCUGUCAGUAUGAGUAUUUGUGUGUUCUGAACAAGGUUCUGUUAGUACUGUAACCAAUCGUUUGAACUGCCGCAUCAUAUUGUUAGUAUCCGAUUCCGAUUCUGAACCCACUGCAUUUCUCUCGCGUUAAUUUAUCUGUACUGCUGCUACGCGUUCUAAUGGAAUUUUAAUAUUCUUCUUCAUUUGUUUAAAAUCAUCUGCGCAUUCAGGUUCAGAGGAAUAUGUUCGACUAUCACAGUGCCAUUUUUUUGGGGUCUAAAUUAUCAUUCGCCGCGUCUGGUGCACCAGAUCUUGCCUACCUGUUGUGACAGGUUCAGCAGUUGGUGCACCAACCUUCAUGGCAAGACAAAACCUCGAUUGGGGUCAUUGUACACCAGCACAAAGGUAGAUCGACGACAAUUUUAGACCAUGCUGAGUUGCUGACAAUGGUAUGGUAGCCGGCAUUGAACUACAGUCUACGGAGCAACCGUUUGUUUGCACAGAGCGUCAUGGCUGCAAGCCCACACUUCAUAUCUGCUGGCAAGUCUCAAAAGCGGCUUUGCUGCAUAGUCGUCCAUGGUUUCAACUUAGAAUCAUUUGAGAAUAUGGGGGAAGGGAAGGCUCCUAGGCUUGAACAAUGAGCCUCACCUUUAUGAGUUAUGAUGGAUCACUUCAUUUUUUUUUAAUUUGAUGGAUCCCCUUUGAGAAUA